rnacentral:rRNA from 1 species
UACGUAGGGACCAAGCGUUGUUCGGAUUUACUGGGCGUAAAGGGCGCGUAGGCGGCUUGACAAGUCACUUGUGAAAUCUCCGGGCUUAACUCGGAACGGCCAAGUGAAACUGUCAUGCUAGAGUGCAGAAGGGGCAAUCGGAAUUCUUGGUGUAGCGGUGAAAUGCGUAGAUAUCAAGAGGAACACCUGAGGUGAAGACGGGUUGCUGGGCUGACAUUGACGCUGAGGCGCGAAAGCCAGGGGAGCAAACGGG